AUUGAACGCUGGCGGCAUGCCUUACACAUGCAAGUCGAACGGUAACGCGGGGCAACCUGGCGACGAGUGGCGAACGGGUGAGUAAUGCGUCGGAACGUGCCCAGUAGUGGGGGAUAGCCCGGCGAAAGCCGGAUUAAUACCGCAUACGACCUACGGGUGAAAGCGGGGGACCGCAAGGCCUCGCGCUAUUGGAGCGGCCGAUGUCAGAUUAGGUUGUUGGUGAGGUAAAGGCUCACCAAGCCGACGAUCUGUAGCUGGUCUGAGAGGACGACCAGCCACACUGGGACUGAGACACGGCCCAGACUCCUACGGGAGGCAGCAGUGGGGAAUUUUGGACAAUGGGCGCAGGCCUGAUCCAGCCAUGCCGCGUGCGGGAAGAAGGCCUUCGGGUUGUAAACCGCUUUUGUCGGGGAAGAAAUCUUCUGGGCUAAUACCCCGGGAGGAUGACGGUACCCGAAGAAUAAGCACCGGCUAACUACGUGCCAGCCGCCGCGGUAAAAC
rnacentral:rRNA from 1 species